rnacentral:tRNA from 1 species
GUGGUUGUGGCUCAGUGGUAGAGUGCUCACCUAGCAUGUGCAAGGCCCUGGGUUUGAUCCUCAGCACCACG